UAACACUUCUUAACCUAUAAGACAUUCCCCGCUCUGCUUUUUUGUUGCCGGUGCCGGCUGCCGGAAAGCUCUUCGGAUGCACACGGCAAAUGCUCUUGGGCAGACCCAGCAAGUAGCAAGGAUAUCCCUGGUGAGAGGAUUACAGAGGCAGGAUGUCACUCCCUAUCCUAGACCAAUGCAGUGAGGACCUGUAUUUUAUUUUAUUUUUUUAAGGUUUAUUUAUUUUGAAAAAGAGAGAGCGAGAAAAACAGAGUGCAAGCAGGGGAGCGGCAGCGAGGGAGAGAGAGAAUCCCAAGCAGGCUCCGCGCUGUCCCGUCGGCGGGGAGCCUCACUUAGGCUCGACCUCACGGACCAUGAGAUCAUGACCUGAGCCAAAAUCAAGAGUCGGACGCUCCACCGCCUGAGCCACCCAGACGCCCGGAGAACCUGUAUUUUAACAAGAUCCCCAGAUGAUUCAUAUGUGUGUUAAUGUUUGAUAGACCUGUAGGCCGGGUUGUCCUGUAACUGUGUCUUCCAGCAAAAGUCCUAGAGAGCAGCACAGGACAGUAUUACAGAGUGAGGCAGGAGAGCCAAGAAGCUGGAUUAUAAAAUCAGAAUUCCCAGAGGUCUCCGACGGGCUGAAAUGAUAGGCCAGAACUCACGACGUGGAAAUGGGUGGAAGCGAACAGCAUAACAUCCUGCCCAGGUGCCAAAUGGGAGAGAGCGGGCCUGGAACCAGUUAAUGCAGAAAAGCUUUCGGUGAGCUACGGAUUUAAGCCAACAGUCGCCUAACUGGUGCCAACGUACAAGAUGCUGUCAAAGUCCAGGGGAAGAUGUACGUCACAAGCCGAGUCAGGAAAGAAAAAGCAAAAGAAAAGAAGAAAUGAUAUCAGCCACCGGGUUUUGGAUGCUUACUUUGGGCCAGACGUUAUGCUAAGCACCUGCCAAGCUACCUCAUUUAAUCCUUACCACCGCCAGAUUGGGCAGCUAUCCUCAUGAGGCACCUUUUACAAGAUGGUCUCUUACAGCUAAAAAAGCUUACGGAGCUUGGGUAAGGUCCUACAGCUGAUCCAAGAAGUCCUUGCUUAAUCUACACGUACGCUGCUCUCAAGGUACUACAGUAACAACUUCCUCCUGUCUCCCGCGGUCAAAAUCAAAAGCCCUUUGAAAAUGAGCUCAUGCAAGGCGGUCCCUCUAGCACCUGGUCUGCAGACACCCUCUGACAUGCUGCAUGUAUUAUUACAAGUCAUUGUGAACGUGCAUUGAGUGCUCAUUAUGUUCUAAACACUUUGCACUAUUAAUGCACGAAUCCUCAAAAUGACCCUGGUUAGGUAAGUACUGUUAUUGUUCCUUAUUUCACAGAUGAAACACACACACACACACACACACACACACACACACACACACAAGCAAAGGCACUGAAUGGUUAAUUAACAUGCCUGAGGUCGCACAGCUAAUGAGCGGCAGAGCUAUGAUGAGGACACAGGCAGUCUGGUGCCGGAGCCCAUGCCCUCACCCCCUCUGCUACUGAUUACUGCAUAUCUACCGUGUUCCCGUGUUUUCUCUAAUCUUCCCAACGUUCCUGCAAGAGGGCUAUGGCCCCAGUUUUAUAACCAAGCAACCUGACCAUCAGAGAGAUGAAAUAAACUUGCCUAAGCUCUCGGUUACUAAAUGGAAACAUCCAGAUCCCCACCAGGUCUACCCUGUCUGUCUUUUCCUGCGUGUUUUUUUGUUUUGUUUUUUUUUCUGUAGCCCCAAGCAGGUUCCCUACUCCAUCCUCCCAGCAUCUCCCCGAGAGCUACAGCUCAGGUCUGUGCUCUGGGCAUGGAGAAAAGGAGGAGGGCGAUUAAAGAAGGUGGCGGCUGCCAGCUGCUGCUUCAAACAAAAUAGAUCCACAUUUACAAAGGCACCAGGGCUGGUUGCCUAGCAACAACUUUCUACCUCCCCAAGCUGCUCUACCCCAUCCUUAACCCACCGCACAUCACACACUCCCCUUGGCCCGCAGUGGCCUCUGAGACAUCCCCCUUCGAGGCCGCCUUUGUUCAUUUUAACCUGAUUUGCUGGGCAAAUGCUCGCAGCUUGCAACUUGCAGAGAGCCCAGGAAACACGCAAUUCAUGCCACAGAUGGCCCUGGGGCAGGCCGAACAGAGCCCUCCUCCCUG